rnacentral:rRNA from 1 species
CAGCACCUCAAGUGGUCAGGAUGAUUAUUGGGCCUAAAGCGUUCGUAGCCGGUUUAGUAAAUCUUUUGUGAAAUCGUACAGCUCAACUGUACGGCGUGCAGAAGACACUGCUAAACUAGAGACCGGGAGGAGUCAGAGGUAUGCUGGGGGGACCGGUAAAAUGGGAUAAUCCUCAGUAGACCACCGAUGGCGAAGGCAUCUGACCAGAACGGAUCUGACGGUGAGGGACGAAAGCUAGGGGAGCGAUCCGGAUUAGAGACCCGAGUAGUCC